rfam:Jatropha curcas cultivar GZQX0401 scaffold32_12, whole genome shotgun sequence.
AAGCUGUGAUGAGGGCACUUUCAUAAUAAAUCUGUUAAUCUUUCCCAAGCUUCAUACAAACUCUCUUUAUCAUGGUGGACAAAGGUCAUUAUCUCAUUACGCAGUUU